rnacentral:rRNA from 1 species
CCUACGGGGGGCAGCAGUGAGGAAUAUUGGUCAAUGGGCGGAAGCCUGAACCAGCCAAGUCGCGUGAGGGAUUAAGGCCCUGCGGGUCGUAAACCUCUUUUGCCGGGGAGCAGAGGUCCGGACGUGUCCGGGCCGGGAGAGUACCCGGAGAAAAAGCAUCGGCUAACUCCGUGCCAGCAGCCGCGGUAAUACGGAGGAUGCGAGCGUUAUCCGGAUUUAUUGGGUUUAAAGGGUGCGUAGGCGGAAUAUCAAGUCAGCGGUAAAAAUUCGGGGCUCAACCCCGUCGUGCCGUUGAAACUGAUGUUCUUGAGUGGGCGAGAAGUAUGCGGAAUGCGUGGUGUAGCGGUGAAAUGCUUAGAUAUCACGAAGAACUCCGAUUGCGAAGGCAGCUUACUAAACUGCCACUGACAUUGAUGCUCGAAAGUGUGGGUAUCAAACAGGAUUAGAUACCCGGGUAGUC